AAAAACGCCGUCGCCGUGUAAAAGCACAUCCGAUAAAAUAUUUUUACGUUUUCACCCGCGAGAGUUCGCGUGUGGAAACAGGGCCUUAGUGUUUGUCACUGAGUCGUUGUUAUUCAUCACACCACAUCUGAGCCGCUCGAGUUGAUGCUGCUUCCUCGAGCCACUCCACUGCGGACAGCAAGCCAAAUACGCUUAACCUUAUCAGCUUAAAGAUGAUGGCAACGGAACUUGCGAACUACUGGAUCAUUUAGUUUGAAUUGCAUCAUUUGCUUCAUUCAGUGAACGUGUUGUGAAAAUUGAGAGCAUCCUCUCUCAUCCUUUCUCCAACAUUUCCCCAUCUCUUUUCAAGCCGCUUGAUCUUGCU